AAGUCGUAACAAGGUUUCCGUAGGUGAACCUGCGGAAGGAUCAUUACAAAAGUUAAACACUUGGGGAACGGACUCGCCUUUCGGGGCUCGAGGCCUGACUCCAUUUGUAACAAAUUUUCUCACCAAUUGACUGUUAACGAAGUCUGAUUCAAAUUGUAUUGGUGUUUAUAGACACUAGUAAAAUAUGAAACAACUUUUGGCAACGGAUCUCUUGGCUCUC
rnacentral:misc_RNA from 1 species